AACUUUUUGGCACACAUGGCCUGUCUCCUGUGUCACGAGCGAAACCAUCUACGACAUUCAGAUAGAAACUAAAACCAACAGAGUACAGGCUGAUAGCCAUACAAGCCGAAACUAAGCCUAUCGCCCUUUUGGGAGUUUGACAAAGGAUUUGGUUUGCUUUGUGAGCAUUUGAGAAUCCGACUUCCAUCACUGAAUCAGCACCGUCCCAGUGUCUUCCGGCAUGGCCUCCUGUGGGUGAAUGUGAAGCGCCGCCUCCGCUUCAGCCCCUACUUCCAGUUGCCGGCCAGAGCAACGGGUAUAUCUGCAACAGCGUACACUGCAAGGGACUCCCCGGCGUGCUCCUGUUGGUUGUGUCAAAGACUUGAGCCUAGAGGCGUCGGUGUGCCGAUCUGCAACGGGCGGCGGGAUGGUGCAUCCUAGUAGUGAAGGGAGGAGUAGGAGCUAUGGUCAGAACCUAGUACCACAUUCCUACAUUGCUAAAAUUCAAUCACAUGUCAUGGCUGAAAUAUUGAAAACAAUCCUUAGGGUUGCAAUACCAAAUUCCGGUCCUCAUAAUUUGCAGUCAAGUCCCAUCCUUGAUUAUGCGGUCGUGCAGCCAGCCUCAGCUACAAGCUCAAGAUCUGAAGUUUCUUUAGGAGGGCUACAAGAAGCUGUAGAACUAAGGCAACAAGUUGUUGAAUAAGAGCAAAUGUUGAGCGACUUGGAGAUGAAGGCACAAGCUUCAGAUGCAGCAAUGAAAAUGCAUUAUGAGGAGAUUGAGAGUUUGAAGAAAGCAGUAAGAGAAAUUGAAUACCUCCUUCAUCAACUGAUAAACUUCAUAGGAUUAGGUCAAUGGGUUUCUUAGGCAUUUAUUCAUAUCCUCCCAGCUGCUUUGUGCUGGUUUGUGAGUAUUGUGGUUUGUGCUCAAUGUGUUUCUAGACCAGCAUUAUUCUUAGUCAGAGAGAUAUCAUGUAUAGUGGUUUGUGAUCUCUUAUGGAUGAUAUGCUUGUGCUUGUUCUUUGGUCAUGCAUAAUAGUGUGUGAAGUGUGAUGAGAACAAUUAUUUGUA